rnacentral:lncRNA from 1 species
AGAUGAAACAAUUUUCUACAUGAUUGGCUAUGUUUAAGGUAACUUGUUUAUUCUUUCGGUUGUAAAAUAAGGUUUAAGCUAAGAAUCAAAGCAUAAAACGUAACAGGGUUUGGAUGUUACGUUAUUGUUGCUGGUCAACCGGAUUUGUGAUAUUAGUAUGCAACGUUUGUAUGCCCUCUAUACGGUAAUUAAUUAAUGAAAACUUAAUAAUGACUUCGAGUCAACUGCACAUCUAUCUCGAUUUCAAUACCUAUUCUGCAUACUUUUUUAAGAUAGAUUUAAAACAUAGAAUGACUGGUAUCUGCAUUAAUUGGAUCCAGGGAUGACAGGUACUUCCUCACUUCUAUAAUAUUUUUUUUCACAUGGUAUCAGAAUGUGCUCAUUCCGUUCUUCUGCCAAGACAUUUUUAUAACGAUGUGGCAUCGCAGAAUAACUAGUUCCGAAUAUGAACUGGUUCCUGUAAACCUCAUCACUGCCAUGAGCAGGGUGUCCUUUUAUGGUUUAUUAUGUACUUUUCCGAAUAUUUUGACCACGAAAUUGAGUUCAUUGUAUAUUUACGUUAUAUCGGUAUAUAAUGGGAUAUUUAAUAAAUUUUAUCGGCCUAUUAAAUUCCAUUUUAAUGAUGACCUUUCUGCCGUGAAGAAAACAUUGCAGUGUUAUUGGCGAACUAAAUAUUGAGUGCACCCAGCUGCCAAAAUACUGUGCUUGAACUUGGGAAAACCAUUAAUGGGUACAAACUUCAAAGUGAU